AUCGUACCCCAAACCGACACAGGUGGUCAGGUAGAGAAUACCAAGGCGCUUGAGAGAACUCGGGUGAAGGAACUAGGCAAAAUGGUGCCGUAACUUCGGGAGAAGGCACGCUGAUAGGUAGGUGAAGCCCCUGCGGGUGGAGCUGAAAUCAGUCGAAGAUACCAGCUGGCUGCAACUGUUUAUUAAAAACACAGCACUGUGCAAACACGAAAGUGGACGUAUACGGUGUGACGCCUGCCCGGUG
rnacentral:rRNA from 1 species